ACAUCAUACACACUCAAUGUAGGGUGACAAAAGAAACCACACUUUCCUCAAAACUGCCAUGAGAAUAAGGCUCAUCUCUGCUGUGCUACUAUGUUUCCUGGCAACAGGCCUUGUGGACAUGAAAGUAACACAGACACCAAGAUAUCUGAUCAAAAGAAUGGGAGAGAAUGUUUUGCUGGAAUGUACACAGGAUAUGAACCAUGAAAGAAUGUACUGGUAUCGACAAGAUCCAGGUCUGGGGCUACGGCUGAUCCAGUUUUCAUACGAUGUUGAUAGUAAUGAUAAAGGAGACAUCCCUGAUGGGUACAGGGUCUCUCGGAAGAAGCGCGAGCAUUUCUCCCUGAUUCUGGACUCUGCUGAAGCCAACCAGACGUCUGUGUACUUCUGUGCCAGCAGUAUAUCCACAGCACUGCACAGCCACAUCCUGUUUGCACAAAAAGUAGUAGAUUGGGAAGGAGCCAACUCUACCUCAUGCCUUCAAGUCAAAUUUGUGCCUAUUAGAAAUAGGUGGCCACCAAAAAUUAACUUCUCCAUGUCCACACCUUAG